UACGUAGGGGGCGAGCGUUGUCCGGAUUUAUUGGGCGUAAAGGGCGUGUAGGCGGCGGCUUAAGUGUUGGGUGAAAUCGCCCGGCUUAACUGGGCGGGGUCCUGGCAAACUGGGUCGCUGGAGGCUGGUAGGGGCGCACGGAAUUCCCGGUGUAGUGGUGAAAUGCGUAGAGAUCGGGAGGAACACCGGUGGCGAAGGCGGUGCGCUGGGCCAAGCCUGACGCUGAGGCGCGAAAGCGUGGGGAGCGAACUGG
rnacentral:rRNA from 1 species